rnacentral:misc_RNA from 1 species
UUCUUUUCUAGCCCAUCAUAACUUGUUUUCAAAACAUCUUGAAUUUUCUUAAGAGAUUUGCCUUUUAAUUUUUCCAAUUCACUUUCCCAUUCUUUUAUCGUCCUGCGAAAUAAAUGAAAUCCCAAAACUUUAAGAGCUAGUGGAUUGCCUCUAGCAUAGAUUGUCACCUUCUUUGAUAGCUCCAAAUAUUUUUCCUUAGGAAGAUUUUGGUUGAAGGCAUGCAAGCUAAAGAGU